ensembl:lincRNA
UCAAGAGCUGGGAAUCAAAUUUUGCCCAAUGAAACAUCCUAUGGUGUUUAAACACUGGCAUCUGGUUAAACAUAAACAUAAACAACACUGAGUGGGCCGAAUUAAGAUCAGGUGCAGGCCAGAUCUGCCCAUGGGCUGCCAGUCUGCGAUGCCUGACGUAGAUGCCGCCUCACGUUACUCAGAAGUUUAUGAUUCCAUCCCACGUGCAGCUCUUCAAAACGCUGCUGUAAGGGCGGCGGAAUCCGUGCGUUCUGGGGCCCGGCCGCUUCUGAUCGCGGUCCUGGGCCCCACCCAUGCCCUUGCGCAGCCCUCUCCGGGAGAGGACUGUACGCCGGGACUCAGCCCUGUCCCUGGUGGCCGGGAUGGGUCGCAUGGCUUUUUCACACCCUCCCUACCUGCUCGCCUGCUCUCCCAGCAGAGCCGCAGCGAUGACUCAGCCUCUGGCUGCCCAAGCCGGCCACGCCUGCGGACCACCCCGGCCGCGGUUGGAUUAGUGCUGGGAAAGACACCUUUAGACAUGGCCCCUUCGUGAGCACCUCCCUGCCGGUGGAGGCCUUGCGGGACUGCAGUCAGAAAAGGACAGCAGGGAGAUGGAGCCCUGCGUGCUCUGGCGGAGAGAAAACCCGCACCGCCGGCCUGCAAGUGGGAAUUUAAAGGCAGAAAUGACCUGCUGGAGCAUUUUGCUGGGCUACACAGUAGCUAUAAGGCAAGGAUGAAUUUGGAAGUUGGCCCCAGGAAGUUUCCUUAGCAAUUUUUUAAUGAUAUGGAUUGACGAAUGAAUGAAAUAUGGUACAGGAGCAUAUCUGUGUGUAAGAGAAGACAGGUUUUUUUUUUUUUUAAUGUCGUUUUGUAUGUCUGUGUGCGGUUUGCGAGGAUGUCUAUAGGACUCUGUAUGUGUAUCUUGAGUGAUGUAUGCAUAUGUAUCUUAUGGAUAUAAGCACAUUGAUAGCUGGAUAGAUGUGCUCAGACGGCGUCUCUGUGUAUAUGCACAGGUGUUUUUAUAUGCCUGUUAAACAGGUGUUUAAGACCUAUGGGCUUUCCUUGCUUUGUAUUUAAAUAUGUGAAUGGACAUAAAUCUGUGGGUUUGUGAAUGUGGCUACAUAUAUUAAUACUUGGGUAUGUGUUGCUGUUGUGUGCCAGUGUUGUACGUGUGAGUGUGUGUGUAUGGGACUCUGUGUGUCUUAGUGAGAUUGAAUUAUGGUUGUGUAUGUGUGUUAAUGAGUGUAUGGGAAUAUAUUUGUGAGUCUGUGAAGAAGGCCAGAGUGUGCUUUAAGGUUGCUUAUGUGUUUAGAUAAGAACAUGUGUAUAUUUUUCUAAGUCUCUGUGGAUGUGACUAAUGAGUCUGGGUGUGUCUCUGGAGCCAUCCUAUUGGGUCAGUCUGUGAUAAUCAGUCUGUGAUUCUUAAGGUUAGGCUGAUUUAGGUGCUUCUUGGAGGAGGAGGUCCUCAGGGGGUGGGAACUGUGGAGGCAAGAAAAGCCCCUGGUGUGCUGGCCCAGUGGCCUUCCAGAGCCGUGGGGGGCAGGGUGAGCAAUGUGGGCUGAAGCUAGACACAGUGGCCUCGAAUGCCAGAAUAGGGCUUCUCCUGGUCCUCAGGGCCUCCUCUGCCGCCUCCGCCCUCUCAAGUCUGCUUCUCCUGGAUCCCCC